AGCGAACGCUGGCGGCAGGCUUAACACAUGCAAGUCGAGCGGGCCUUUCGGGGUCAGCGGCGGACGGGUGAGUAACGCGUGGGAACGUGCCCUCUGGUUCGGAAUAACUCAGGGAAACUUGAGCUAAUACCGGAUACGCCCUUUUGGGGAAAGGCUUGCUGCCGGAGGAUCGGCCCGCGUCUGAUUAGCUCGUUGGUGAGGUAACGGCUCACCAAGGCGACGAUCAGUAGCUGGUCUGAGAGGAUGAUCAGCCACACUGGGACUGAGACACGGCCCAGACUCCUACGGGAGGCAGCAGUGGGGAAUAUUGGACAAUGGGCGCAAGCCUGAUCCAGCCAUGCCGCGUGAGUGAUGAAGGCCUUAGGGUUGUAAAGCUCUUUUAUCCGGGACGAUAAUGACGGUACCGGAGGAAUAAGCCCCGGCUAACUUCGUG
rnacentral:rRNA from 1 species